GGGGCUGCAGGGACUGGGUGAAUUAUUGGGGGGAGGGCCGGGGGGAGCUGCAGGGACUGGGCUGUGCAGCGGCCGCAGCUUCCGCUCCGUGCACGAGCGCUGGUAGUGCGUAGCCCUCAGCAAAGGCGGGGGGAGCACCCCCGUCUCCCCCCCACGGCAGGCCCCCGGCCUCCCCAGAGCCAUGGGCUGGAGCCGGAGUACGAGAUGGCGCUGAGCAACGGGGAUUCCUUCCGGACGCGGCACCUCUCGGCUGAUGAAUUCCGUGCGGCCGCGGCCGCUGGGGGAAAGGCAAUGGGAGGGAGACUGGCGUGCAUCGAGAUCGGGGGGUAUCUUGGGAGUUAUGGGGGUCUGAGGGGGCUUAUUGGGGUCCGUGGGGUCUGCAGGGGCUGGAGGGGCUGAAGGGAUUGGUGUACAUCAGGGUCUGAGGGUAUAUUGGGAGUUAUGGUGGUCUGGGAGGGCUGCAGGGAUUGGGGGUGCAUUGAAUUGGGGACGUAUAUGAGGGUCUGGAGGACUUUUUUGGGGGUUGAGGGGUUGGAAGGAUUGGGGUGCAUCAGUAUUGGGAGACAUAUUGGAGGUUAUUGAGGCCUGAGGAAACUGAAGGGGUUGGGGUACAUGGGGAUUGAUGGUGGGGCUGCAAUGCAGGGGGCAUCUGUGGACACCCUGGUGGUUAUUGGGUCUUCAUGGGGUGAACCUCCUCUCACCCCACUCCCCCACGUUCCCCAGGCAUCCUGGAGACAGACAUCACCUUCCUCCUCAUCUUCAUUGUCAUCUUCUCAUUAUUCAUCAGUGAGUGGCUGGGGGGAAAUCUGAGCUUAGAGGGGGCCUGGGGGGAGGUGGUGCUUUGAGAGAUCCUGGGCUCACCCCCCAGUCCCCCCAGACCUGGUCUAGGGAUGGCAGCUGCUCCACACCACCUACAAGAUGCUCAUGGUGGCUGCCAGCAUGGAGCGUGAAGGGGGAGCUUGGGGGGGCUAUGGGCAGAUUUGUGAGGGCCGGGGGCAGCUGCGGGGACUGGAGAGCACUGGAGUCUGGGAAAGUUCUACUGGGACUGGGGGGAUCUUCAGAGACUGGGAGGUGUCGAGGUCUGAGGGGCAUAUUGAGAUUUGGUGGGACUGGGGGUUCUGUGUGGGUUUGGGGAAGUAUAGGGGUUAUGGGGGGGCACAGGGGCACUUUGUAGUCAUGGGAGGUGAUGAGGUGCUUGGGAGAGUACAGGAGGUAUAAGGGUGAUGAAGGGAGGUGUGAUGAAGGGGGGUGCCCAGCCCGCCCCAUGUCCCCAUGCCAGCUGCUCCCCCUCCGUCAGCUUGUUCAUUUUCCUUCUCAUGCUCAUCCUGCUGGGCAAGUGCUUUUCCAUCACAGAAUCCAGCUCUGUUUCUGGGAUGACAGGGGGAUACCAACAGGGGCUGUACUGGAAGCUGAAGUGCUCCUGAUUGGGCAUGAGUGGCAGAAAAACUCCAUUGUCACUGGCCUAGAGGCUCCUUGUAUCCUUGGCAUAGAUCACCUCAGGAGAGGUAUUUCAAGGACCCGAAAGGACAUCAUUGGGCUUUGCGAGAGCUUCUGUGGAGACAGCAGAAAUUAAGAUAGUUGAGUCCCUUGCUUGAGUCCCUUGGUCUUUCAGAGGACCCUUCUGCUGUGGGACUGUUGAGGGUUGAAGAACAGCAGGUACUGAUGGCCAGCACAAGUGUCCUGUUGGCAGCGUGGCACCGACUGGGAAUUCAGGACCCCAUCCAUGAGCUGAUCCAUGAACUGGAGAGCUGGGUGUGCUCAGCAAGACUCACUCACCCUUCAGUAGCCCUGCAUGGCCUCUGCCUGAGUCCUGUGGAGAGUGGACACUGACAAUGGACUGUCAUGGCCUAGAUGAACUCACACCAUCACUGAGUGUUGCCAUGCUGGACAUGUUGGAACUUCAGUAUGAGUGGUGCCACAGCAGAGGAAGUUUUGAGAAAGGAGAUAAGAUAUCCAGAUCCUCCUGAAGGCUGGUUUUGCCAUAAAACAGAGUAAAAUCAAGGGACCUGCCUUGGAGGAGGUUAAGUUUUUAGAAGUAAAAUAGCAAGAUGGAUGCUGUCAGAUUCCAGUGGUUGUGGUCAACAAAAUAGCAGCCAUAUUCCCACUGACCAACAGGAAGGAAACACAGGCUUUCCUGGCACUGUGGUAUUUUGGAGAAGUUACAGUCAGAUUGUAAACCCUCUCUAUUAUGUGACAUGGAAGAAGAUUGAUUUCAAGUGGGGUCCUUAACAGCAACAAGCUUUUGAACAAAUUGAAGAGGAGAUUGUUCCUAUAGUAUCUGUUGAACCAAUCAGGAAAAGGACAGGAUGUGGAAAAUGUGCUCCACGCUGCAGCCAGGGAAAAUGGUCCAUUCUGGAGCCUCUGUCAGAAGGGACCUGGGGAAGUUAAAGGACCACCCUAUGGUUCUUGAGUCUAGGAUACAAAGGAUCAGAAACCAGCUAUAGUCCUACACCACACUACAAAUACUGGCAGCUUAUGAGGAGGUUCCAUCUGUUUUAGAAGUGAUUGGCACCAAAACAUAGCUUCCACUGGCACCCAACUGCCAGUGCUGGGCUGGAUGUUCAAAGGGAACAUCCUUUUGGAAGUCAUUACAAGCGGUCCCAAAGGCAAAAAUUUCAGAUUAUCAUCAGAAGAGGAGGAGGUGAAGGUGGCACAUGCUAAGGAGGCUCUGGCUACCAGAAAAUGAGAAGUGUCACUCUCUCUUUAGUGAUGAUUCUUGCCUUAUUGUAGGGAUACAUCAAAAGCUGCUGUAUAGAGUCCUACAUGACAGUUUGUGGAAGCCACUGAAGGACAAGGUGGAUCCAGUCAGAUUACAGACCUUAAAGCUUAAAGCCAUCUAGCUGGCUUUGGGUAUGGCUGAAUAAGAGAAGUGGCCCACACUCUGCCUCUGUACUGACUCAUGGAUGGUGGCAAAUGCUCUGUGGAGGUGGCUGGAAUGAUGGAAGAAGGACAGUUGGAAGUAAAGAGGGAAACCCAUUGGGGCUGCUGGGUUUGGGGCAAGACAUCACUGCCCAGGUGUAGAAGUUGGCUGUGUAAAUCCCUCCUGUGAGUGCUCACAUACUCAAGAGUUGGGCACUGAAGAGCAGCUAAAUAAUGGACAGGGGGAUCGGGCUGCCAGGAUUAAAGUGUCUCAGGUGGGUCUGGACUGGCCACACAAGGGUGAGAUUUUCUGUCUCACUGGGUCCAUGAUGCCUCAGGGUAUGGGAACUGACCAUGGUCAAAUAAGAGAUUUUUAGGCUUCAGGGAUUAGCUUGAGCCUGUGUGAAACUAAGUCUCACAAGGUUCUUACUCUGGCAUGAGAAAUCAUAAGGAGGAAUUCAAACAGGCCUUAGAGAAGGCAAACAACCUUGUCAGGUGUUGUCGCCUUGUUGUUUACUUGCAAGAAACGGUCAAGAGGUAUUGUUCCUAACUGUCCAAUGAUGGUGAUGUGUUAGUUUCAUGACCAAUGAGAGUUUUACCUUUUCAGACCUUCUCAGAACUGUCUAUAAAAGAUCUGGAAGAAUAAAACUUGCUGUCUUGUGCAACCAAG